GGACAAAAUUAUUUUGCAUCGCCUCGAUGCUUUCGAAUCUACGACUAUAUCCGAAGCCGCCAACCAUGCCGCAUAAUGUCGUCAUAUCGCUCGCCCACUUACCGCGGAAAAUCAUGCCAGCCAGAAACAUGGCCCUGACGCGAGCUUGACUUUUCCUUCGUAUUCAGCUGGAUCGCUGGCAUGGCCCCGCGUUCCUUCCUCUACUCCUGGCCUUUCUGCGCAGUUCAACUCAAAGUAUGACGGCCCUUAUCUGAUUCCACGACAGGCGUCCCCGGUCAACUACCUCAAUGAGCAUAUUCAACCAUCUGUGGACCAGUGGCGUAGCGGACGCGAAUCGGUUCAUGUCGACCAGCUGACGCCGAACUACGACCCACCAGUGCUGCGGGUUCCAUAGGUCGCCAGGCUGGCUCCUUUUUCGGCGGGGAGUGAUUAUAGCGAGAAAAGCGGGCACCAGCAGAAGACGAAGAAGGCGGCUGUUGUUGGUGGUGUUCGGGCUCGCCCCACUCUGCCGUUGUCUCUUUCUGUGCAUUUUAUAUAAAACACCGAGCGCAUCUAGCCUUAAACGGGUAGUAUCAAAAUAAAUGCAAUAAAGAAAUUAAUGAAUAAAUAAAUAAAUUGGUUCCGCCGUAUUUUUUCGUUGUUUGGUUUUCUGCCUCCCAUGUUUAGGAUAAUUCGAAGCAAGUAAAGCAAGAAAGCAGUGCACUUGAGAUGCAUUAGUACAUAUUUUUAAAUGAAUAUUAAUCUACACUGUAAGUAGCAUUGCCUUUCUGAAACGGCAGCGACAUCAUUUUCCGAUUACCGAAACCUCUUGCGCAUGGUCGUAUUACAUCGGCAUCGGAGGCGGGGACAAUCAUUGAAUUCUGCCACCUAUUGUGUUCCCUGUCCAUCGCCUCCGUAAUUUCUGGCUUUCUUCUUGAUUAUCAUUUUUUUUACAGAUUAAAUUUUUUUGCUUCCAUUCGAAUUACACCCAAGCAGAAAAGCUUGUCAAUUGAAUGACAAAAAACGCCACCACCACUGUCGAUGAAUGAAUCGUAGUUCUAAAAUGCUGUUCCCUCUGCAGCGGCCCGCACACCUAACGAUGUGAACCUCGUUCCGAAAAGCCGGCCGCCAUAUAUAGAUUGAGUCCGCGAAAGUGCCACGUUUCCACAAGUUCAGUGUGUGUACAACUAUCGUACCUCUGUGAGGAUGUUCGUGGCAAUAAAAGCAUUCCCUGCUCGUAUUCAUAAAACUAUCCAAAGCGAUGCGCAUCGCGUGCUUGCGAGGACCACGCGCGAGUAAAAGACGAAGCGCCCAUCUGCGUUCGAUGCUGCACGAGACGCUGCACGAGAGUAACCAGCCAACCGAGCGAGCAUCUAGGACACGGUGGCCCCUUCCUUCACGGGUUCCUGGAUGCGAAGGCACCCUCACGCAAGGCGUCAACGGCGCACUGAUGACGUCCGCCGUCCAGUCUCACUCUGCUACCGACGUGGUGACGGCGGGGCUACGCAGCGGGCAUCGACCAGCCAGUUUUCCCUCCCGCUGCGUUGGCACCGCAAGGACUGCAGCAGGCCUCCUGGCCACGUCUUCCAGCGCAAGUGCCACCAUGACGCCACGUCGCGCUGCACUCUGGGACCAGCAGCACUACCUGGCAACUCCAGUGUACUGCCGUGCUUCUGGUUCCGGCACGAAAGGCUGCGCUCCUGCAGAGUCAUGCGGGCUUCGACCGACCAGCUUUUGCUCCCGCUGCCCGGGCGCCAGAAGGACUGCAGCAGGUGUCCUGGCCACGUCUUCCAGCGCAAGUGCCACGAUGACGCCAUUUCGGGCUGCACUUUGAGAUCAGCAGGAGCAGCAGGUGGCCACUCCAGCCUCCUAACGUGCUUCUGGGUCCGGUACGCAAGUCCCUGCACCUGCCGAGCGUUGUGUCCCGACCUGCCGGCGUGCUGGCCUUCGGCGACUCUGCGGUGGCUGCCCAAUGCCGGAGAAUCGCACGCAGCAGCAGCACCACGAGCAGCGCGCAGUUCGCCGGGUGCAUCGCUUGCUGCGGCUGUUUCACCUCCAGCGGUCCAGUGUUGCCGAACGAGGUCACGUGGCCUACUCUUUCUCUAGAAAGAGUACGCGUGCGUGGCCAGUACGUUUAUGUUAACGCUUUUGCUUUCGUAAUCCGUCAAUUUGGUUCUUCUACUUCGAUAAUUUAUCAAUAAAUGCGGUUUUGAUUGUCUACUCG